rnacentral:rRNA from 1 species
UGAGGAAUAUUGGUCAAUGGACGAGAGUCUGAACCAGCCAAGUAGCGUGAAGGAUGACUGCCCUAUGGGUUGUAAACUUCUUUUAUACGGGAAUAAAGUGAGGCACGUGUGCCUUUUUGUAUGUACCGUAUGAAUAAGGAUCGGCUAACUCCGUGCCAGCAGCCGCGGUAAUACGGAGGAUCCGAGCGUUAUCCGGAUUUAUUGGGUUUAAAGGGAGCGUAGGCGGACGCUUAAGUCAGUUGUGAAAGUUUGCGGCUCAACCGUAAAAUUGCAGUUGAUACUGGGUGUCUUGAGUACAGUAGAGGCAGGCGGAAUUCGUGGUGUAGCGGUGAAAUGCUUAGAUAUCACGAAGAACUCCGAUUGCGAAGGCAGCCUGCUGGACUGUAACUGACGCUGAUGCUCGAAAGUGUGGGUAUCAAACAGGAUUAGAUACCCUGGUAGUCCACACAGUAAACGAUGAAUACUCGCUGUUUGCGAUAUACAGUAAGCGGCCAAGCGAAAGCGUUAAGUAUUCCACCUGGGGAGUACGCCGGCAACGGUGAAACUCAAAGGAAUUGACGGGGGCCCGCACAAGCGGAGGAACAUGUGGUUUAAUUCGAUGAUACGCGAGGAACCUUACCCGGGCUUGAAUUGCAACUGAAUGAUGUGGAGACAUGUCAGCCGCAAGGCAGUUGUGAAGGUGCUGCAUGGUUGUCGUCAGCUCGUGCCGUGAGGUGUCGGCUUAAGUGCCAUAACGAGCGCAACCCUUAUCGAUAGUUACCAUCAGGUUAUGCUGGGGACUCUGUCGAGACUGCCGUCGUAAGAUGUGAGGAAGGUGGGGAUGACGUCAAAUCAGCACGGCCCUUACGUCCGGGGCUACACACGUGUUACAAUGGGGGGUACAGAAGGCAGCUACACGGCGACGUGAUGCUAAUCCCUAAAGCCUCUCUCAGUUCGGAUUGGAGUCUGCAACCCGACUCCAUGAAGCUGGAUUCGCUAGUAAUCGCGCAUCAGCCACGGCGCGGUGAAUACGUUCCC